AUUCACUGUUUAAACAAAUGCAGUAGAUGGAGGACAGAAGUGAAAGCGGUUACCGAUUCGGCUGUUUUAGCAUCUUAAGUCAAACAGAUUUCCUGUUCAAGUUUUUGGUAAUUGGAAAUGCAGGGACUGGUAAAUCAUGUUUGCUUCACCAAUUCAUUGAUAAGAAGUAUGCCAUGCCGUUUCCCGUCCGGGUCAUUGAGUUCAGGUACCGUAGCUCCGUCCCUUUUCUAGCCGGCUGACUUCCACCUACCCACGGGAAUAAAUUGUCAUGUCUUUUAGUCCAGGGUACUCUGUUCCCUUUACUUAGUGCCCUCACAGGUCGGGAGGGAGAUCUAACACCAAGCAUCAGGACUGCCCAGUCCCUGACCACAUUCCGGCACCUCCUUAAGACUCACCUCUUCAAACAGCACCUGUAGAACUCCUCUGUUUGUAUCCUGGGACACUAUCACCCUUCAUGUAAAUGUGCUUUAUUUUGCUCUUAUCUGCCCCUAUUUUACUGCAUUUAAUCCUGUACUUCAGAAUACUGUAAUCUGCCAAGUGCUUAACCUGUAGUACUUUGUAUUUAAUCAUAUCCUGAUGUAACUAUCACUAUUUAAUCAUACCCUGAUGUAACUAUCACUAUUAUCUGCUGUAUUAUUGAAUUGUGGUUGUCACACUUAUACUUUGCUUGAACAAAAGUUAUUGUAUUUCUUGCUCUUAUUGUAUUACUUGUAUUGUAACACUUGAAAUGUAUUUGCUUACGAUUGUAAGUCGCCCUGGA